GUCCCCGUAGCUCAGUGGACAGAGCAACGGUUUUCUAAACCGCAGGUCGCAGGUUCGAAUCCUGCCGGGGACGCCA
rnacentral:tRNA from 1 species